CCCAUUCCUGUGGGGACCCACGCCCACAACUAUAGCAGGCUACAAGGAAUCCCUGAAGUGAAUAGAACGUGCUAAAAAAAAAAAAAAAAAAAGGGGGGGGUGGGAACAAGGACAGAAGGGGAAUGAUUAAUCACCUUUUCAGAAUAGAAAGCAACUUCCUUUCCUCUUCGGCUUCUCUCUGGAAACUUUUCCGGUCUGGGAAAGCAGAACAGUAUGUUAUAUGCAAUGAAGACUCAAAGAGGAUUUUGUCUGUGCAAACC
rnacentral:lncRNA from 10 species